AAUAGAUACCCAGGUAGUCCACGCCGUAAACGUUGGGCGCUAGAUGUGGGGACCAUUCCACGGUUUCCGCGUCGUAGCUAACGCAUUAAGCGCCCCGCCUGGGGAGUACGGCCGCAAGGCUAAAACUCAAAGGAAUUGACGGGGGCCCGCACAAGCGGCGGAGCAUGCGGAUUAAUUCGAUGCAACGCGAAGAACCUUACCAAGGCUUGACAUAUGCGAGAACGCUCUAGAAAUAGAGAACUCUUUGGACACUCGUAUACAGGUGGUGCAUGGUUGUCGUCAGCUCGUGUCGUGAGAUGUUGGGUUAAGUCCCACAACGAGCGCAACCCUCGUCGCAUGUUGCCAGCACGUAAUGGUGGGAACUCAUGUGAGACUGCCGGGGUCAACUCGGAGGAAGGUGGGGAUGACGUCAAAUCAUCAUGCCCCUUAUGUCUUGGGCUUCACGCAUGCUACAAUGGCCGGUACAAAGGGCUGCGAAACCGCAAGGUGAGCGAAUCCCAAAAAGCCGGUCUCAGUUCGGA
rnacentral:rRNA from 1 species